rnacentral:rRNA from 1 species
ACGGAAGGCAGCAGUGGGGAAUAUUGGGCAAUGGGCGAAAGCCUGACCCAGCGACGCCGCGUGAGGGAAGAAGGUCUUCGGAUUGUAAACCUUAGUCAACAGGGAAGAAGAAAGUGACGGUACCUGUGGAGGAAGCCACGGCUAACUACGUGCCAGCAGCCGCGGUAAUACGUAGGUGGCAAGCGUUAUCCGGAUUUACUGGGUGUAAAGGGUGUGUAGGCGGGAUUGCAAGUCAGAUGUGAAAACUAUGGGCUUAACCCAUAGCCUGCAUUUGAAACUGCAGUUCUUGAGUGUCGGAGAGGUAAAUGGAAUUCCCGGUGUAGCGGUGAAAUGCUUAGAGAUCGGGAGGAACACCAGUGGCGAAGGCGAUUUACUGGACGACAACUGACGCUGAGACACGAAAGUGUGGGGAGCAAACAGGAUUAGAUACCCUGGUA